rnacentral:rRNA from 1 species
UACGAAGGGGGCUAGCGUUGCUCGGAAUCACUGGGCGUAAAGCGCACGUAGGCGGCUUACUAAGUCAGGGGUGAAAUCCUGGAGCUCAACUCCAGAACUGCCUUUGAUACUGGUGAGCUUGAGUCCGGAAGAGGUGAGUGGAACUGCGAGUGUAGAGGUGAAAUUCGUAGAUAUUCGCAAGAACACCAGUGGCGAAGGCGGCUCACUGGCCCGGUACUGACGCUGAGGCACGAAAGCGUGGGGAGCAAACAGG